CGGGGGAGGCGGGUUCCUGGGCUGUGUCCCGGCGCCCUGUGCUCCGGGGCCUGCGCUGUUGGAUUCGCGCUCCCGGGCCGCGCAGCCCCCU
rnacentral:pre_miRNA from 1 species